CAGUUUCAUGGAGACACAUACGAAGAACGCUGAAGAUAAUGAAGAAAUUACACCACAACCCAAACGCAGAAAGCUUUCUGAUGUUGAAAGCAACGUUUUGAAGCAUUCCAAAAGACCAAGCUUCGCCUUUACGAAACGGAUGAAAGAAUGUCUUAGAACUAGAGAGUAACUUACAGAUGAACACAUUUCCUUGGCGCAAGUUCUUUUGAAAGCACUGUUCCCCACAUAGACGGCCUUCAACCUCACUUGCCAUCAAGGGUUGACGAUUUCAGGACAGUGGAACAGGAAAGUAUACAAAUCCACAAACUGGAGAAUGAACAAUGGGAACGUCUAGCAACAUAGGGCAAAAAGCUGCUCUAUAUUACAGCGAUUUUCCAGGAUUUGAAAUUGAUCCACAUCUAAGUCAACAACUGGGAGUGAUUGACCAGCUAGCUGCGUUGGAAGAGGACAGCCAGCGAUAGUGAAGAACAGGAUUUUCACCACCUAGGCUUGCGUGUAGAAUUGCCCUAUGUGCAGCAGCAAGUGAGAGUCAAUGACAGUGGUCUUUUUGCUAUUGCAUUUGCAGUGCAUCUAGCACGUGGAGAAGACUUAACCACCGUGAAAUUUGAGCAGCAACAAAUGAGAGAACAUCUUGCCAGAUGUUUUAGACGAAAGUCGUUGACUCCGUUUUCACUAGAGACUAACAUAUCUACUAAUAAACAGCGUCCAUCUAAACGCAGAGGUACUACAAUUGAGCUAUGCAGAAUGUGCCUAAUGCCUGCGACAUAUGACAACUCGAGUGUCUGCCCACAGCACAGCAACAUCUUAGAGCCAGACAAUUCAGAAGAGGAAUCGCAUGGUAGUGGUAACGGUACAGAUUUCUUUUCAUAAUCACCAUAAGAAACAGUCACUAGCACUUAUAAUUAAUUUAAUAGUUUGUAUUUGUAACAGGAACUAAAUUAAUCGUAUUUUCUAUAAUAUGUUGAUAACAUUGAAUUUCCUAUCUAGUUUUUACUGUAACAGUAACAUAGCAAUACGCAAUGCAAGCA